rnacentral:tRNA from 1 species
UUGUUGGUGGUGUGGUGCAUAGCACAGCUGCCCGGAAAGCAGAAGGUGCGGGUUCGAUUCCCGCCUGGCGCA